GUCUGGUCUGAUGGUAGUAGGUUAUCAGAACUUAUUAAAUUUGGUGGGUCACUAAAGUUGGUAUACAAUCUCCCACUGCUAAAUUUGACUAGCUAAA
ensembl:misc_RNA Y_RNA Y RNA